GAAAUGCGAUAAGUAGUGUGAAUUGCAGAAUUCAGUGAAUCAUCGAAUCUUUGAACGCACAUUGCGCCCCUUGGUAUUCCAUGGGGCAUGCCUGUUCGAGCGUCAUUUGUACCUUCAAGCUUUGCUUGGUGUUGGGUGUUUGUCUCGCCUCUGCGUGUAGACUCGCCUCAAAACAAUUGGCAGCCGGCGUAUUGAUUUCGGAGCGCAGUACAUCUCGCGCUUUGCACUCAUAACGACGACGUCCAAAAGUACAUUUUUACACUCUUGACCUCGGAUCAGGUAGGGAUACCCGCUGAUCUUAAGC
rnacentral:misc_RNA from 1 species